UACGAAGGGUGCAAACGUUGCUCGGAAUUAUUGGGCGUAAAGGGCGCGCAGGCGGCCUUAGAAGUCAGAUGUGAAAGCCCCGGGCUCAACCUGGGAAUGGCAUUUGAUACUCUGAGGCUGGAGUACGGGAGAGGAGAGUGGAAUUCCCCAGUGUAGAGGUGAAAUUCGUAGAUAUUGGGAAGAACCACCGGUGGCGAAGGCGGCUCUCUGGACCGUAACUGACGCUGAGGCGCGAAAGCGUGGGGAGCAAACAGGA
rnacentral:rRNA from 1 species